rnacentral:tRNA from 1 species
GGGAGACCUCCCCCUCAGUGA